rnacentral:rRNA from 1 species
GACGAACGCUGGCGGCGUGCUUAACACAUGCAAGUCGAGCGGUAAGGCUCCUUCGGGAGUACACGAGCGGCGAACGGGUGAGUAACACGUGAACAAUCUGCCCUUUUCUUUGGAAUAAGCGUUGGAAACGACGUCUAAUGCUGAAUAUGACCUCGGAAGGCAUCUUCUGAGGUGGAAAGCUCCGGCGGGAAAGGAUGAGUUCGCGGCCUAUCAGCUAGUUGGUGGGGUAACGGCCCACCGAGGCGACGACGGGUAGCCGGCCUGAGAGGGGGACCGGCCACACUGGGACUGAGACACGGCCCAGACUCCUACGGGAGGCAGCAGUGGGGAAUAUUGGACAAUGGGCGAAAGCCUGAUCCAGCAACGCCGCGUGAGGGAUGACGGCCUUCGGGUUGUAAACCUCUUUCAGCACCGACGAAGCGAAAGUGACGGUAGGUGCAGAAGAAGGACCGGCCAACUACGUGCCAGCCGCCGCUGUAACAC